rnacentral:lncRNA from 15 species
AACUGCUCAGAUGUUGUUUUCCAAAGCACACUGCAGUUACUCUAACCAGUCAGUGAGAGGCAGCAACCAAUGUUAUUUACACUAACUGUUGGCUUUAACAUGGGAUGAAUAUCUAUCUCAGGAAUCCUUCACAGGCAGGUGUUAAUUAAGCAAGGAACUUGUUGAAGCCUUAAAUAAACCAGGUGAAGAGUUAGGCUUAGUUUUAAAAUACUGUAGAUACUGCCACUGCUACAGCCUCCCAGUUCUGAUUAAUAUUAGCUGAUUUGUGGUACAAUUUGAAGAAAUAUAUGCAAGAAUCAAGAUUAAAUACCAUAUUUUAAAUUACCUCUUAACAGGAUUUACAAAAAGCAGCUAAAAGAGGCAGCAUGCAACUUUACACCACAAUUUUAACCAGACCUGUAGUUCUUCAUUCACUUGAUUAAAACAACUUAUCAACUUUUUUUACUUAAUGAUGAAUGUUAUUUUUCAAAAGAAACACUGAGUCUGAGGAGGAAUGUGUUCACCCCCCACCAGCAUUAUUUGGUUUGAAAAGUCUUUAAAGACAUCAAAAGUAUAUUUAUAUAAAACCUCUAAAGUGAGAGUGACCAUGAUCCCAACUGACUCAUAUGACACCUGUUUAACUGUUACAUGACAACUGACUCAUAUAACACUUGUUAAACCGUUACAUGAGUCAUGUCUCCUCUCUGUUAUGAAAGGUCACAUGCACUCACUUUAUGCCAUUACUAUUUUUUGUUCUUGUAAAAUUUGACCUAAUGACACUCCAGUUAAGAGGUCUUAACCUUCUCAUUGGACAGGGACUUAGAGUAGGUGUGGUUACGUAUAGGCAAUUAAUAUCAUUUUCUUUAUAACUUUGCAGCUGAACCUAUAUUUUCAGAAAAUAGUGCUGACAUGAAGAGACCUAGAAAGCGUAACUGCAUUGAAGAGAGGUGCUUUUUACAGACUCACAAUGUGAAACACAGGUAUAGAAAGAAAACCAACUACAGUGUGAACAGUAUCAGCCACAGCUCUGUGUGUUUCUUUAAUGUGAAAAGAGUUCCUAUUUUCUGCCAAACUACAACCCACACCCUGCAUGCAGCUGAGGCUACAUAUCGAUUUGAUACCUCCCUCUAAAGUUAGUCAUCACCCAACAACCUCACAGCUCUGACCUCACUGCUGUGAUCCAGCUUCCCAGAUUUAAAACCGUGAAAUUCAAACUGAGAAGCCAGCAUGCCUUACUAAAAUGAUUACAUGCACCAACACCAAAUUUGUGUGUCCUCUUCUGUUACUAAAUCCUGUACAAUGUUUAACGUAUAUCUACUUUAUUAAUAUGGUUACAUACUCUGUUAUUUGAGCAACUGAAAUUAGAUAGCACAUAAAAUUCUAUUAACUGUUAGUCACUUCAUUGCCCUUUUAAACACAGCAACUUCAGCUUGUAGAGGAAAAAUAGAAGCAUGUCUUCAUUACACACAUAAUGCAUGUAUAAUUUAGACUUUUUUACUGCACCUAUUUGUGCACCUGCUCACAAAAUGCUGACGUGAAAUAGGUCGACUAAUCCAUUUCUCCUCUCUGCUCUGAGCAUUUUGUCAUCCAGCCUUCGUUCUGAGGGCUACCUACCUGCUCACAGUCCUCAGUGCUUUCAGCUCUGGUCCCUUUCAGGCAGCAGUCUGGUCACACUGUGCCUUCUCCUAAUUUUUUCAAUGUAAUAGAUCCUUCCAGCAGCGUGCAAGUCUGUGCUUGAUGUUCCUCUACUGACUAGACGCAGUGACUGCCAAAAGCUGUUUAGGCUUUUUUGUAUUUGUGGUGACUCCAAAGACAUUGGAGGUUGAGUGGGCGGUAAAGCGGGGGGGGGGGGGGGCUGAGUGAACGGUUGGUCACAGACCAGGUUAAAUACCUCCUUAAAGAAUCAUUUGUUCCCAUAAACCAGGUGUAGUGAUACAAAUUAAGUUGAGGAAGCCAGAAAUGUUCUCAGAAAUGUUCCGAAUUCCCAAGUUUAGUGCUUGAUUAGGUGUAAAUGUUAAUGUGAUUGCUUAAGUUUAAUGUCCUGAUUUGUGUUUUCCUAAAAUUAUUCUUUAUGUAAAUAAAAGGAGGCAAGACUCUGUUUUUUUUCCAAGCCACAUAAUAAAAAUUAUUCAUAGAUCGUAGACAUAUGAUUAACAAUGCACCUGAUUAUCUCACUCCAUUAAGCACAUUUUUAUUACAAACCACACACUGCUUGUAGCUUAAAAAAUAUAAAAUGCAUUAAAAUCAAGCCCAUCAAAACAGUCUGGUGGAUAUUUUCACUAAAAUCAACAUUUGUUUGUGUGCAGGGGUAAUGUCAGAGUGCUAUCCAAGACAUUUGGAAAUCUUUGUGGGACUGAUUCCCAGUAAUUAUGUUUAGUGGACGUAAUAUAUUCUUAAAAACAACUGUGACAUAUUAAUUACCAUCCUGUCAACUUUAAUUAACAAAAUAAGGAAUUUCUAAGUGGUCGAUAUUGAUUUGACAAACUGGAGUGGAAAUAUAUAAUGAUGAUGUUUAUUGGAUGAAGUUUGAUAUCCAGGGCAAAGUUUUCUCUUUGACGGUCCAGAGUGUAACACUAUGGAGGAUCUAUUGCCAGAAAUGGAAUAUAUGUGUUCAUUAAUGUAUAAUCACCUGUAAAAAAGAAUCAUUGUGUUUUUGUUACCUUAGAAUGAGCAGUUGUUUUCUACAGAAAGAGCAGGGUCCUCUUCUACGGAAUCUGCCAUGUUGAACUGCCAUGUUUCUACAGUAAAGCCCCAAAUGGUCAAACCAAACACGGGCUCUAGAUAGCGCAUAUUAUGAGUUUCACAGCACAACAACAAUCCUACACACGGGUCAUUUAAGGUAGACCUUUAAAAGUAUAGCAUAGGCAAAAAUAGCAGAAAUAACAGAGCAGACACAUUACAAUUGAAAUAGAGUUAUUUAUAUUUAUUUAAUAUUUAACAAUAGCUUGGCUUAGACUAUGUUGCACUAUAUUUGGCUUUAUAUAAAGCCUACAGCUACAUCUAAAUCCAGGUUCAAGGCUGCAGCCUUUGAAUGCUUCUGUCUCUUGUCUUUUAUUACAGACAUUGGCAUUCCAGUUGCAUGUCAUGUUGAGAGUUGUUGUAUUUUAAGACACAGUGUAAAUGCUUAAGUAAAGAAGUAAUGUGUCACAUUGUCCCCUCCCAUCAGGUGUUGUGCCAAACAUGGUGCAGCUGUUACGAGUUUGUUAUGUUCCUAAGAACAUCUGAAACAUGAUCAAGAGUAUCAGCAAGUGCAACUGCAACAAAAACAUCCUUCCCAGAAAUACAGUUACUGUAAAUGAUGCUAGGGAAUAAAAGCAGACAAUUCACAUACAAAGUGAUAGAAAUGUAUUAAUGUAUGAAACAUUAUGACAAACUUAGUUACUUACCAAAAGUAAUUCAGUAUACUUACAGUGCAGUACAUAUUUAAUUUUCUCAGCUUUAUUUUCCAUUGAUACAGGCUUGGAUUACUGGAGUUACUUGUACCAUAAAACACAUCUGCAGUUUGCCUAUAAAUGUUUAUAGAUGUUGGCAGAAAUAACCAAAAUUUAUACCAAACAAAACGUAUAUCUUAAAGACACAGGUAUGACAAACCUCUCUGAAAUGUGUUUUCUAACGCAUGCCAGUUCUCCCGACUGCCUAUACCUUUCUUGCCCUGACAGUAAAACCAGUGAACUUUGCCUUCAGCAAUAACAACAAUCAUAAACAUGUCACACUUAAAGAAAUAUGCCUCCAGCUAUCAUUUUCUAGCAGGUGGUCUGGGGUCUGUAACUUAAGUCAUGCAGUAUGCAUGGUAAAUGUAUGGAAAAUUCAUUUUGAAAUUCAAUAGUUUACAGUAGUUUAUAGUUAAUAGUUUAUUUAUUUUGCUUUGAUGUUAAUGAUUUUUAGUUACUUUGCAAUCUCUAUAUGGGUUUUCAGAAUCUAACACAGUAAGAAACUGGUAGCUUACAUGUUUAUGUCAUACAAUCAUAAGUGCUUAAUGCUAAAGCAUACAUACAUUUUCACCAGCUACUUAACUGGCUUACUGGUUCACUUACAUGGAUAGAUGACACCAAAGGCAUGUUAUGGUUUAUUGGCUGGAGGUUUAGCCAUGUCAUCUGGUUAGGGGGAGGGCUGGGAAGGGUUGAUGAAGAGCAUAAAAACUGUCUCAUGUUAUAUUUGGGUUACUUUGAUAUUGUAAACUACAAAUUAUGUAUAAUGGUGUCAGUAUAUCAGUUGAGUGUUAUUAUGAAACCAAGAUGCUAAUAAAGGUAAUAGUGGCUAAGGCUUGUGACUUACCUGUUUUUAAAACAUUUGUGUCAUCUUUUAUAUCAUUAUAUUGUAUAGUUGAAUCAAAUAACAGAUACACAUAUCAGGUAUACAAAUAUGUAUGUAACUUGCUGGAAUAAAAUCUUUAAUUUCAAUAAACCCUAACCCUUUCUGCAUUUAAUAAAAUAUGAUUGUGUAUGGUAUCAAGAAGUGACGCAUUAGUUGUUGCUGCAUUUUUGCAUUGCAAAACUCAUAAAAAAUGUUUUGAAUGUUAAAUGAUAGGUUCACAUUUUUUAAGUCCAUAUUUUAGACAGUUGCUAUAAUAUAAUAAAUAUUAAAGUAAGAGAUUCCUUUCUAACAUACUUAAAAAGGAAGAAAUUGGUUGGGAAGACCUGAUUCUGUGUAAAAAUGUAUUCCAAAGUGUAUUUGAAGCCUAGAUGAGGUAGCAGUAAUCUGAGUUAUAUGAGUCAAGCGGGUAUCUUCCAAGAUUUUUAGUACCAAAAUCCCUGUUUCUCUUUUGUUUCCCCAGACAGUGUUUCCUUGCUGAACUGCGGUGGAUGGAUGGUAACACAAAGAGGGAAUUUGCACUAAAAAGACUUGUCUUAGAUAACAUGCUUGUCCAAGUUCUCCCCUUGUGUGCCAUUACUCUGAUGUUAACUGUGUUCCCCAAUAAAGCUUUCAGGUAUAUGUAGAGUGAUGACUUAGUAUUCUCCAAAUUCCUUGACCUACCUGCCAACUGUCUCUUUACAACUGUCUGCAUCUGUUUCUAAUGGUCUUUCUCAUCAUUCACACUCCACCUCCUCCGGCUCCCUGUUGCCUUCCUUCCACUUCAUUUACCGCCCAUAUCUACCUAUUCUUUGAUAUUUCGGUCCAUCCUUUGAGUCUGCUCCCUCAAGCAAUGUCUCACUCUAUAAACUUAUCUCACUCUUUUAUUUUGAUCCUCCAUGGUCAAUGCAGUAUUUUAUAGCCACAUUAUUGCGCGACAUAGGUAGCUUUAUUUUAUAUUUUCUCUGUGACGCAUCCAUUGGUUUGCAUCACUUCAACAUGAAACUGCCUUAAAAGUUGCCAAUUGUAAUGCUUGUCUUGUGUUGUUGUUUGCCUCCCUUCAAUGGCUGUGGUCAGAGGCAUUAUGUUUUCCAGUUAUCCAUCGGUCCAAUUGUCUGUCCAUCGGUCCCAUUCUCGUCAGCAUGAUAUAUCAGGAAAUUUGGUACAAUUGUCAACUUGGACUCAAUGAAGGAACUGGUAAGAAUUUGGUGGUCAAAGAUCAAGGUCACUGUGCUUUAACAAAAUAUGUAGGGUAAUUAUGACAACAUUUCACAGAAAUGUCUAAUAAGAUAAAAUAAUAAAGUGAUGAUGUUUUCUAAAAGGUCAAAGAUCAGCUUCACUGUGACAUCAUAAUGUUCUGCAAAAUCUGCCCAUUUUUCUACGCCAUAACUCAGGAACAGAAGGGGAGAUUGGGUCAGAGUGAAACUGUGGUGACUGUAUAGAUAUUCUUUGCUGUCGGGUUGAAGAUUUGUGUGUGAAGCAUCCAUGUGUUAGAAUGUGUAGUUUCUUUGCAGAAACAUUCAUAAUUAAAGCAUUGUAAU